AUGUGCAAGCCAGGCCAGGGACCAAAACUUAGUUUAAAAGAAUUGGCAGGGGCCGCGCGAACGCGUACCCCCUCUACCACAAAUUAUGACGUUCAUUCUCCCACUUGGGGAGAUGAUGGGCCAACGCACCCACCAAGUGCAAUGUGGGCCAUUGACCCAGGCCACGGGCCUUCUUGA
rnacentral:rRNA from 1 species